rnacentral:rRNA from 1 species
CGCAACCCCUCGCCGUCUGUUGCCACCACGAAAGGUGGGGACGUCAGGCGGGACCGCCGGUGACAAACCGGAGGAAGGUGGGGACGACGUCAAGUCAUCAUGGCCCUUAUGUCCUGGGCCACACACGUGCUACAAUGGCCGGUACAGAGCGCAGCGAGGCCGCGAGGCGGAGCGAAUCGCUUAAAGCCGGUCCCAGUACGGAUUGGAGUCUGCAACCCGACUCCAUGAAGUUGGAAUCGCUAGUAAUCGCGCAUCAGCAUGGCGCGGUGAAUACGUUCCCGGGCCUU